GAUGAACGCUGGCGGCGUGCCUAACACAUGCAAGUCGAGCGAGAUUAAGUGUAGUGGAGACUUCGGUCAAAGUGAAGCUUAUGAAAGCGGCGGACGGGUGAGUAACGCGUGGGCAACCUGCCCCAUACAGAGGGAUAGCCACUGGAAACGGUGAUUAAUACCUCAUGAGUCAGUAGUAUCGCAUGAUAUAGCUGACAAAGAUUUAUCGGUAUGGGAUGGGCCCGCGUCUGAUUAGCUAGUUGGUGAGGUAACGGCUCACCAAGGCGACGAUCAGUAGCCGACCUGAGAGGGUGAUCGGCCACACUGGAACUGAGACACGGUCCAGACUCCUACGGGAGGCAGCAGUGGGGAAUAUUGCACAAUGGGCGCAAGCCUGAUGCAGCAACGCCGCGUGAGUGAUGAAGGCC
rnacentral:rRNA from 1 species